GUAAAAAAAAAUAUUUGCACAUGUUAAACAAAUUAUGAUAAAUAUAUGAUGUAUACAAAAGUCUGUAUAAAAACUAUAUAUUUUUGUUCUCGCUUAAACUUGUAGGCAGGCUACUUAGUAGGUCAAACCUCCGGGGCCUCUUAACCUGUGACCCUGCUCUCAUCAGGUCAGCUACUAGCUGCUAUUAUCCUCGUUUUUCCUGCCGCCACGGCAUCGCUAUUUUAUGAACGAAACAUGGCGGAGAAACGUAAAAGUGCUGAUAACUCCUCUGUAUCAAAAAAGAAAGUAAGGGAAAGUUACCUCAACUUUGGUUUUGUAGGGGGGGCUCAGCUUUUCUUAGACACAAGUAGGGGGGGCGCCAAGGAAAACAUUUUGGGAACCACUGGUGUAUGCAAUUGGUGUAUAGUAUGGAGUUGGGGCACAUGGUAAAGCGACACAGUAGGAAGUUAGAACAGUGUCUUGAGGCUCUCAUGUAAUUUCUUAAUCUGUCUCCUCAUUGUCAUCUGCUGUUUAUGAUCAAAGAAGGAUCCUAGCUCCUCUCACUUGUGUGCACUGGCACAAUCUGAACACAGGUGAGCAUAAGUCCUUAGUGUGGAGGUUUCUCUCCCCACUGUGAGGCUGAAGUAUGGAGGAAAGGGUGGUUUGAUUAAUGGAGAAGAGAGUUUGAAAGGUAUGAAUGUGUGGGAAUGUGUGUCAAUUAGUGCUCAAUGUCUGUAAAUGUCAUAUGUUGUCGUUCAUUUGUCAUCAGUUCUUUCUUUGUUCAACUCACUCUUCCUGUUGCUCUCUCUGUCAGACCCCGUGGAAGUAAAAACGUCGGCCUUGGCUGAAUGGAGUGGAAAUAAAGAUGUGUCAGAGUGUGUUAAGAAGACAUCACCAGCUGACCCUGCAUCUGCUGGCACCAUGGCAACAGACAGCAAGGCAGACCUGGGUGGGUAAGUCCGCUGUCUCACCUCUUUUACAUGUUUUGUCAGUGCAUUUGUUUUUUUUUCUUCUCUCUGUGACUGCACGCUGUCGUUUGUCAAGUUUCUACUAGUCAUACACAAAUAUUAUUUGGGAGUAAUGAUUUUUGUAGUCUCUGCGCA
rnacentral:lncRNA from 1 species